CUAGCACUCUCACAGAUCUUCCCCUUGGCAGUGGGGCCAAGAUUUGGUAGCUGGUGCUGAAAGAAAGCCCUUGACUGCAUCCUUGCCCUGCUACUGUACCAGUGGCAGCUGUCACUCAGUGGGACAUAG
rnacentral:snoRNA from 1 species